ACUCCUACGGGAGGCAGCAGUAGGGAAUCUUCCACAAUGGGCGCAAGCCUGAUGGAGCAGCACCGCGUGAGUGAAGAAGGGUUUCGGCUCGUAAAGCUCUGUUGUUAAAGAAGAACACGUAUGAGAGUAACUGUUCAUACGUUGACGGUAUUUAACCAGAAAGUCACGGCUAACUACGUGCCAGCAGCCGCGGUAAUACGUAGGUGGCAAGCGUUAUCCGGAUUUAUUGGGCGUAAAGAGAGUGCAGGCGGUUUUCUAAGUCUGAUGUGAAAGCCUUCGGCUUAACCGGAGAAGUGCAUCGGAAACUGGAUAACUUGAGUGCAGAAGAGGGUAGUGGAACUCCAUGUGUAGCGGUGGAAUGCGUAGAUAUAUGGAAGAACACCAGUGGCGAAGGCGGCUACCUGGUCCGCAACUGACGCUGAGACUCGAAAGCAUGGGUAGCGAACAGGAUUAGAUACCCUGGUAGGAUAGCG
rnacentral:rRNA from 1 species